rnacentral:tRNA from 1 species
UGGCUCAGAUGGUAAAGUGUCUGCCUACAAUGCAGAAGACCUGGGUUCAAUCCCUG